ACAACCACCUGCUUCCCACAACUCCCACGUCUCAUCUCCCGCAAGAUCGCAACCCCCUCCUCCCCCAUUUCCUCUCUGCCGAGUAAAAUCCUUGCCGCCCCGCCCUGCCCCCACACCCCUUCUUCGUCGAUGGCAUGGUGCCUUGCCUUGCUGCCGUAGUUAGGGUCGCCGCUGUAGGACGAACCACAGCCCGCUGUGGUGUCGUCUCCCCUCCACCCUAUCCAUCUCCUCCACCCCUGACCGUAUGCUAGGGUUCAUCUCCCCACCUGCGCAGCUUGGCGUCGCAGACGCACCCCCAUCAGCCGCCACUCGGCGCACCAGCAGGCGCAAGCGCUGCCCCCGUCUCAGAUGCAGGGCACGUCGCCGCCGCAGUUGGCCACCCGCCUCUCCAGGGUGCGAACUAUGGCAGUCCGGCUACCCGACGCAAACACACGCUGGGGCCAGCAAGGUCAGCACGCUCUGGAUCGGGAACUUACAGUUUUGGAUGGACAAGAUCACAAGAACUACAUCUACAAUUGCUUCCCGAGCACCGUCAAGCUUACGGCAAUGAAGCGAUGGAGGCAUCGUCCCAUUGCCUGAUGAAGAAGAGGGGGGAAAGGAAGAUGGUGACGAGCCGGAGGAGAGUGGAUGUGGGCACUAUUAUUUCCUCUGUUGAGUUUUUUUACUGAAUUUUUUUGUUUAGACGACAAUAAAUCAAUUUUAGACUACAAAUCAAAAGGAGGAGGCAGGCAGGGGGAGGUAGUGGAGGAUAAUUCUUCUAUGGAAGCAGUCAUAUAUGACAGCCAUGGUAAGACCGUUAGAGAGGUUCGUUUCAAUUUGUUUAGCUAAUUAUCAGCGACUCUUGUUUGUUGUUCCAGUCUUGUGAUCCAAGUGGUUAAUAAUGUAUUACGUAGUGAUAGAAAUGCCAUGUACCUUUGGUGUGUAUGGGAAUCACAUACUAUGUUCGACACAAACUUAAAUGGCUUGUUUGCUUCUUGUUGUCAUACACAGUAAAAAAUGGGAAGUCACGUCUCUUACGAGUUAGGAAGCUCGACACACAUCAAGAAAUUAUAAGGCGAAGAAGGUGGUCAGAUGCCGAUCGAGACAAAUGGUUGAGAACUUGAGAUGUUCACCUGCCAUGACGAACUACUAGGUUGUGCUCGGUUCGUAAUAUAACGGAUUUUGCGUGCUAAUUAGCACUUUGCCUAAAUGUCUUUGGUGGUUAUGUCUAUGGAUUUGUGAGACAAACAUCAGGCAAAUGUUGAUACAUGAUAGUGGUGGAGUUUAUUA